rnacentral:rRNA from 1 species
UACGUAGGGUGCGAGCGUUAAUCGGAAUUACUGGGCGUAAAGCGUGCGCAGGCGGUUUUGUAAGCCAGAUGUGAAAUCCCCGGGCUUAACCUGGGAAUGGCAUUUGGGACUGCAAGGCUCGAGUGCGGCAGAGGAGACUGGAAUUCCUGGUGUAGCAGUGAAAUGCGUAGAUAUCAGGAGGAACACCGAUGGCGAAGGCAGGUCUCUGGGCUGACACUGACGCUCAUGCACGAAAGCGUGGGAGCAAACAGG